CUCUGCCCUCCCAAAAGCCGCCCCCUUCCCAAAGAAAUCACCACACGCGCAGCAGGCACAACCAACCCACACCCGCCGCCGCCUCCUCCUCCUCCGAUCCCCCAAGGAGCCGUCGCGUCGCAGCAGAUCCGUCCAUGGCGGCGCUGGGGUCCAAGCUGGCGCAGCUGCAGGCCAAGGCCUGCGAGGCGACGCGGUUCGUGACCAGGAACGGGUGCGCCUACCACAAGACCCUCAUCGAGAAGAACAAGCAGUUCGUCGUGCAGCCCCCCACCGUCGAGAAGUGCCAGGAGCUCUCCAAGCAGCUCUUCUACACCCGCAUCGCCAGCCUCCCCGUCCGCUACGAGGCAUUCUGGAAGGAGGCGGACCAAGUGAAGCAGCUGUGGAGAAACAGGAAAGAUCUGAACGUGGAGCACGCGGGCAUCAUCGCUCUGUUCGGCCUCGAGCUCUACGGGUGGUUCUGCAUCGGCGAGAUCGCCGGCCGGGGUUUCACCUUCACGGGCUACAGCGUCUGAGCGCCUUCCUUCCAUGAGUACCUCCACGCGAUCGGCGUCGAUUAAGAGCUGAAGACUCUGUUAGCCAAUCAGUUUCUCGUGAUGCGCGGUGCGAAGUUUUGGUUUUCUGAAAUACUAUUCUUGAUGCUGGUGAAAAAAGUACACCCGGCUCGGUGAAUUCGACUCGUCGAUGAGGUCUAAUAAUUUGUCGCACGCUUAGUUGAGUGAUUGAAGCCUGGACAGAUGAGAUAUCUGUGACUGUGAUGUUUGCCUUGCUUGCUUGCUGAAAUCAGGGCAAAUUACGCUCUUCCAGACGAAAUGAUGAAAUGAAUUUGACUUGGUGAUGAGGUAGUAUAAUAAUGAUCUCCCCAUUUCACUUGGUUGAAUCCUGGAUGGAUGAAUUUAUCUGUAAUGUUUGCAUUGCUUGCGUACCAAAAUCAGGGCAAAUUACGCCUCCAGAUGAAAUGAUCUUCCCCAUUUCAUUGCUCCGGCAUCUAAAUUGAGUUGAUAUAUGGUUAUUUUGCCAUGCUUAAUCUAAGCGAUUGCAUACCCAUAUCAGCAGUUCAUACCAGUGAUUUGUAACGCUGGUGCAAAGCUGCUGCCGGAGUAGCUGCUCGCCCACACACACCCGCGCAGGCCUCCGCCGGUGAUUUCUCUCCCAGGCCGGCGCGGCAGCGGCAUGGUUUGCCGGAUGAUCACCGGUCGAUGACGAAUUGACGGGCAAAUCAAAUUGCAUAGUGUAACUCCUUGCGCACGGGGAAACCAGUAAAAGCCCCAAAGCCACCGUGACCUCCUCCCCCUCCCCCACUGAAAACCGAGGAAGAGCCGGGGAUAGGUAGCCGAUCGACGGCGACGGUGGCUGCUCCGGCGACCGUGUCCUCAUGUACGCGGCCGCGCGCCGCCUCCUCUCCACCCGCGCCUGCGCCGCCGCCGCCGCGCGCGCGUCCCCUGUGGCCUCGCGAGCGCCCUCCUGCUACUCCGCGGCGCAGUCCAAGCCGCCGCCGCCGCGGUUCCCCACGCCCAAGGAGAUCCGCCGGGGCCUGGACCAGUACGUCGUCGGCCAAGACAAGGCCAAAAAGGUGCUCUGCGUCGCCGUGCACAACCACUACAAGAGGAUAUACAGCGAGCCCUCCACCAAGAGCUCAUCGCAAACCUCGGCGGCCGAUGAUGAUACUGAGCUCGAAAAGAGUAACAUCCUUCUGCUUGGGCCAACUGGAUCAGGUAAAACACUUCUAGCAAAAACGCUGGCUCGCUUUGCGAAUGUGCCCUUCGUGAUUGCUGAUGCAACAGCAAUUACACAGGCUGGGUACUCUGGGGAAGAUGUGGAAUCAAUCGUCUACAAACUUCUAGUGGCUGCUGACUUCGAUGUCGAAGCUGCAGAGCGUGGCAUCAUCUACAUUGAUGAAGUUGAUAAGCUCGCAAAGAAGCUCGGUUGCCAGGAGGACCGGAGGGAUGUCUCUGGAGAGGGUGUCCAGCAAGCACUCUUAAAGAUGUUUGAGGGAACGGUGUUCAGUGUGCCAAGGAAGAGAAGUCAAAAUGGCAUGUCUCAUGGUUGUGUGGAGGUUGAUACAACAAACAUACUCUUCAUUUGUGGAGGUGCCUUCUCUGACUUGGGAAAGAUUGUCUCAGAAAGACUUCACCGCUGUCCUUUUGGUUUUGGAACACCAAUACGUCAUGAAUUGGGGGAUUAUGCUUUGACGAAUGCUCUUGGGCAAUCCGGCUUGCUUGAAGAGAUCGAGAAUGACGAUCUGAUUGCCUAUGGCCUGACACCAGAAUUUAUUGGGAGGUUGCCAAUAAUAGUUGGCUUGACUCAUCUCACUGAAGAUCAACUGGUUCAGGUUCUCAGAGAGCCAAAGAACGCAAUAGGCAAGCAAUACAAGAAAUUGUUCAAGAUGAAUGAUGUAAAAUUGCAUAUUACUGAAAACGCUUUGAGGCUAAUAGCAAAGAAAGCAGCUGUGAGGGAAACCGGAGCGAGAGGCCUACGAUCAAUAAUGGAGGGCAUUUUGACAGAAGCAAUGUUUGAGAUCCCCGAUGACGCAGGAGAGGGGAAAGAGAAGAUAAUCGUUGUUCUUGUUGAUGAAGAAUCCGUAGGGACACCAACCCGUCGAGGCUGCGGAGCCAAGAUUUUCCGAGACGAUGGAGCCCUAGAACUAUAUGUUUACCAAAACAAUAUCAGGGUGCCUGGGCUGAUUCAGAGGCCAAAAUGCAGUAUCAUUUGCCGGCUAUGCCUUCUGGUAGCCUUUUCAGCAGCUAAGCUGUGGGUUUAUCAUACGUUUGAUUGUUUCUCCUCAAUAUACGCGUGGAUUAUAUUGAUACUGUGUAAGGCAAACAUUUUCACAGAAUGAAGUACAGUUCGAUAUCA
rnacentral:rRNA from 1 species